rnacentral:rRNA from 1 species
UACAGAGGUCCCAAGCGUUGUUCGGAUUCACUGGGCGUAAAGGGUGCGUAGGUGGUCGGGUAAGUUUAAGGUGAAAUCUCCGGGCUUAACCCGGAAACUGCAUUGAAUACUAUCUCGCUCGAGAGUUGGAGGGGAGACUGGAAUACUUGGUGUAGCAGUGAAAUGCGUAGAUAUCAAGUGGAACACCAGUGGCGAAGGCGAGUCUCUGGACAACUUCUGACACUGAGGCACGAAAGCUAGGGGAGCAAACAGG